rnacentral:rRNA from 1 species
UCGAGGAUCUUCGGCAAUGGGGGCAACCCUGACCGAGCGACGCCGCGUGUGCGACGAAGGCCUUCGGGUUGUAAAGCACUGUCGAGGGGGAGAAAGGGCAACUUGAUCUAUCCCUGGAGGAAGCUCGGGCUAAGUUCGUGCCAGCAGCCGCGGUAAGACGAACCGAGCGAACGUUGUUCGGAAUAACUGGGCUUAAAGGGCGCGUAGGCGGGCCGCCAAGUUCGAGGUGAAAUCCUCCGGCUCAACCGGAGAACUGCCUCGAAUACUGGAGGUCUCGAGGGGGGUAGGGGCACGCGGAACUAACGGUGGAGCGGUGAAAUGCGUUGAUAUCGUUAGGAACUCCGGUGGCGAAGGCGGCGUGCUGGACCCCAUCUGACGCUGAGGCGCGAAAGCCAGGGGA